AGAGUUUGAUCCUGGCUCAGGAUGAACGCUGGCGGCGUGCUUAACACAUGCAAGUCGAACGAUGAACCACUUCGGUGGGGAUUAGUGGCGAACGGGUGAGUAACACGUGGGCAAUCUGCCCUGCACUCUGGGACAAGCCCUGGAAACGGGGUCUAAUACCGGAUAAUACUGCGGCCCUCAUGGUCUGGGGUUAAAAGCUCCGGCGGUGCAGGAUGAGCCCGCGGCCUAUCAGCUUGUUGGUGAGGUAAUGGCUCACCAAGGCGACGACGGGUAGCCGGCCUGAGAGGGCGACCGGCCACACUGGGACUGAGACACGGCCCAGACUCCUACGGGAGGCAGCAGUGGGGAAUAUUGCACAAUGGGCGAAAGCCUGAUGCAGCGACGCCGCGUGAGGGAUGACGGCCUUCGGGUUGUAAACCUCUUUCAGCAGGGAAGAAGCGCAAGUGACGGUACCUGCAGAAGAAGCGCCGGCUAACUACGUGCCAGCAGCCGCGGUAAUACGUAGGGCGCAAGCGUUGUCCGGAAUUAUUGGGCGUAAAGAGCUCGUAGGCGGCUUGUCACGUCGGGUGUGAAAGCCCGGGGCUUAACCCCGGGUCUGCAUUCGAUACGGGCUAGCUAGAGUGUGGUAGGGGAGAUCGGAAUUCCUGGUGUAGCGGUGAAAUGCGCAGAUAUCAGGAGGAACACCGGUGGCGAAGGCGGAUCUCUGGGCCAUUACUGACGCUGAGGAGCGAAAGCGUGGGGAGCGAACAGGAUUAGAUACCCUGGUAGUCCACGCCGUAAACGGUGGGAACUAGGUGUUGGCGACAUUCCACGUCGUCGGUGCCGCAGCUAACGCAUUAAGUUCCCCGCCUGGGGAGUACGGCCGCAAGGUAAAACUCAAAGGAAUUGACGG
rnacentral:rRNA from 1 species